rnacentral:lncRNA from 1 species
AUGCUUUUGACAAGCACUGCCUGGGAUGCUGCUCUAGUUCUGAGAGAGUUCUGAAGGGGUGGUCUCUGAGCUGAUUCCUCAGAGAACCACCAGUUUUCCUGAGUCCUGUGAAUUGUUAUAGUAAUAGCAAUGGGGGGAGGUGUGAUAACCCCAGAAUUUGUAGACUUCAGCCAGGGAGAAGUGUGAGUAGCCUGGGCACCUCAUUGCAGUUGGCAUCUGAAGUGGGGCAGCCUUGUGAAACUGAGCCCUUAACCUGUGGGGCCUGCCCGAACUCCAGAUGAUUAGUAUUAGGAUUGAAUGGAGUUGUUGGUAUUGCAGUAUGAUUGUGCAAUUUGGUACAGUCAGCAAGUCAAACUUUUAAAAAAUAUUGCAAAAGAUGGCUGAGUGAAGUGUAAUAAUACACACGCAGCAUUUUAAAAACCAAACUUAUUAACUUCUACCCCACCCUCAAAUAAACCAGCACGUAUAUCCAUCAAUCCACAACUAAUCCAGAUUCAAAAUACUGAUGUUUUCAUUGACUUCUCCUUCCUUGUUCUAUUCAGUUAGUCAACAUGCCUUGGAAUUUCUAAAUUGACAGUUUCUGGUUCAUGCAUUUGUCUUAUUCUCCCUUCU